AUUGAACGCUGGCGGCAGGCCUAACACAUGCAAGUCGAGCGAGCGGCGGACGGGUGAGUAAUGUCUGGGAAACUGCCUGAUGGAGGGGGAUAACUACUGGAAACGGUAGCUAAUACCGCAUACUAACAGAUGUGCCCAGUUGGGAUUAGCUAGUUGGUGGGGUAACGGCCCACCUGGGCGACGCUCCCUAGCUGGGCUGAGAGGAUGACCAGCCACACUGGAACGGUGACACGGUCCAGACUCCUACGGGAGGCAGCAGUGGGGAAUAUUGCGCAAUGGGGGCAAGCCUGAUGCAGCCAUGCCGCGUGGGUGAAGAAGGCCUUCGGGUUGUAAGGCACUUUCGGCGGGGAGGCGUUACCCGCAGAAGAAGCACCGGCUAACUCCGUGCCAGCAGCCGCGGUAAUAC
rnacentral:rRNA from 1 species